rnacentral:lncRNA from 1 species
UGACUCUGAUCUUUCCUUCUAUGGAGCCGGAUGUGAGCUUAUCGCCUACUGAUCUUACUCAAAAAGAGUCAAUGGGAGUAGACACAUCAAUAGCAGCAGACGCAGAGGAAGAAAUCCUUGCUCUUCGGGCUAAGAUGCUGACUUUGCCGUGGAAAGAGUAAUGAGAGGAAAGCCUUGACCUUCCCUUGUUCUACCCUUCGAACUCGGAGAUUGAAGAAGAUCACUCUAUGCAGCGACAGAGGCAAGAUCUCUAUAUGUUGAUAGAUACCCGAGAGACUGAGUCCUUGGGGGAGAGAGAAAGGAGGCAUUACUCCCAGAAAACGUGCAACCAACCUUUCCUUCCCGCUUCUUCCUUGAGAAGAGAAGGUAGGGGCUCUGUUUCCGCAUCCGUUCCAUAUCAGUAUUCAUUGUUAAGAUCUCCCGGUAGAAUCGAAUGGUAACUGAAUCAUUCCAAUAGU